GUGCAGAGUGGCUCAGUUGGUAGAGCAGACGCACCGUGUGCAGAGGCUAAAGCCCUCGACGUGGUUGUUCUGGGUUCAAUUCCUGGUCUUGGGACA